GGGGGCGCAGUACAUGAACUAAUCGUGGGCCGACCAAGAAGCCUAGCUCCGUGCUCUCCAGUACAGGUUAAUCUUAAUCUUUUUUUCUCCGUGUUUAUCGGAGUCUACUAAGUCUUCUUGCUAUGGCUGUUGAAUUUCUUGUUUGGAUUUUUUAGUCUAGGAACGGGCCUGUUCGUAUGAUGUGAAAAAGGGGGACUGUUCAUAGGGUGUUGUCUGGCUUUCCCAAGCAAGCAUUGAUCAGGAACUUGUGGUAAACUAGAGUCAGGAAAAAUUCGGUUUCAUGGAUUUUCGCUGCUAUUACAGUGAUUCAUCAGGUUUGUGCCUCAAGCCUUGUUUGGUUAGAGGGAUCUACCGGGAUUACAGUUAGGUCCACAAGAUAGUUAGGGCAUAUUUCACAGGUUAUAUCCUGAAUAUUCUCAAACUAAAUGCAUGCCGAUGAACCCGGUAAGCUUCACAAAAACAGUAGAACCGAAUAAUUAUGGAUUUCAAAGCAAAAAGAUUGAUGCGCCUGGAUUAUUUUAGUACAGUAUAUUAAUCAAUUAAGGAUGAUGAAGACGAGUCUUCAAAUAUGGAUGUUCAACUGCUUACAUUAAGGAUGGACAUGCCUUCGUCUAGUUGCAAACAUAGACAGCUCGCACCGUAUUAUCCAGCAAUUGCGUACACAGUGUGCAGACUACGCAUCCAAGAUCAUCUGCAUAUAGUACAACAUGAUGUACGUAGAUAUUAAUAUGACCAAUUCAUAUCAUGCAGGAAUAACCGCAUUCGGCUAGCCAAGAUUCAGAUCCGCCCAAAUCAUUGCAAACUCUGACAUCACAAAUCACAAGGUAUGUAGUGCAGUUAUGCGAUAAACAGAAUGUGUACCAGGUAAAUACAAGAAGAGUAAAUGAAUAAGUAGAACAACAAGGGGAGAUUUAUAUUACAGAGAAGGCCGAUCAUCAUAUAAAUACAUUUGAACAGAAGGGCAUGUUGGGUGCACAUCGGCUGCCCUCCUCAAGGCAGACUCGACAUCACUGUUCUUGUGGACGGAGGAUGUGACACCUACACGGAUGUGCUCGAGGGCUAACAGGUGCUCCAUCCCUAAUGGUGUAGCACCACCCCACCCAUCAUGUACUUGUAGAUGGAGCUGUCGCAGCUUGGGCAUCGCCCCUGCCUCGAACUCCAUGCAUACCAUAGCAGAAUAAAUUACAAAAAACCAUCACAAUUGAGCACCCUAAUUCAGAAAACCAUCACCAUUCGAAUUUUUUUCAAAAAACCACCACCAUUGUGCUAACAAUUUUCAGAAAGCACUUAUCACUGGAUUAUCACUGUAUUAGAGACGUUUGACAAAAAACUGACCGCUGGGUCCCAUGGUCAGGUGCCACGUAGCGAGGACGAGAUAACGCCGCUACUAAACUAAACCGGCCCACCUCCCACCUCACGCAUCUCUCCCCACCCCGACUCACCCUUUGCUGCCGUCCAGGAUCCAACUGCCGGCGGCGCCCACUGCCUGAACGAGGAGGUCUCAUAUGGCCGGGUCAACGGAGACGCCACACCGUCGCUGCAAAGCCGCCGCGGCCUGGCACCGCGCGGCAACUGCCCCGUCGCUCCAUGACCGCCGCCACUCUCCAUGUCCCGGCGACAGAUUCGAGCACUGCCGGCUUCCGUGCGCCGCCCGGCGACGAAUCCAAGCGGUGUCGGCCCCGAGCGCAGCCCCGACGGCGGAUCCGGGGCGAUGCGACCUCCCGCUGUGCCAGCGGGCAUGCCGACCGCCGGAUCCAGCACGCGGGAGGGCAACGGCGGAUACCAGCUCACGACGGCAGCAAGCACCAGGGCCUCUCCGGCCUCGUCCUCCCGCCUGAGCCCCCACCUGCAGGUCGACGGGAGGGACAUCCAGUGGAGACCGUCGUGGCUCCCCGCUGCACACUGCUGUGCGCCAGGGCUCCUUCACUUCGUGAUCUCGCCGGCGUUGUGGGGCAGCUCCUGGGCAUGAGGAGAUCCAGCCCGGCUCCACUCCGAUGGGCAUGACUGGAGGCGGUGGCUGCCACCGCCGGGGGACGCAGGCGCGCCUGCCGCACCGCGCCGCCCGGGUCGGCCACGACCAGCCACCUCGCUGGCUGUAGCCUGCCACCUGCUGCUUCCUUCGCUUGCCGCCGACCUCCAGCGAUCCGUGACAUCUCCGACGACGGAUCCAAACGGCACCGGCCACCCAGGCAGUUCUCUUUCCUUGUCCGGAUGCCGCCGGCAGAGAGCUCACGAACUGCUCGAUGGAAUGCCAGAGAAAGGGACGAAGAGAGAUAGGAGAUGCUGACAAGUGGGCUCACAUCAAGUUAACGGUCCAUGCGGACGGAGUCAAUUUUUCAUGCCAUGUCAUCACUUGCAAGUGGGAUCCAGCAGUCAGAUUUUGCGUCAAACAUCUCUAAUCCUGUGAUAAGUGUUUUCUCAAAACUGUUAGCACAAUGAUGGUGGUUUUUUGAAAAAAAAUCGAAUGGUGGUGGUUUUCUGAAUUAGGGUCCCCAAUUGUGAUGUUUUUUUGCAAUUUACUCACCAUAGCAUCAUCAGAGACGAGUCUAAGGUCUUCCAGAACUGGAAAUAAUCCUGUGCGGACUAUUGGCGGCACCACUAUGUUCAGUGAUACUCGACACAGAGAGAAACAUGUCAAUGAGGGAGGGCAGUUUUCCGACAACGUGAACCUCAUUAGUCGAUAGCUACUCAACCGACAAAGUCAGGCUGCGGAGGCAAUGGAGGUCGCCAAUCCAAUUGGGAACUCUCUUCAAUAUCCAUCCUAGCAUAUAAAGAACCUCGAUAUGGAGAGGAGGGUUGGAUAACGAGUACAUCCGGCAACAAGAAUGUUUAGAAAACACACCAUUAGCACUGACAAAGAGGUAUUUGAGGUCACGGAGCCUCGCAAUUGAGGAGACCAAAGCAUCAACUAUCUCCUCCGCCACCAUUUUGCCAGAGAAGCUCAGCAUUCUCAGACCAGUCAGCUCAUCGCCAAUGCCCUUAAUAUCCUCGAUAUGGAGAGGAGGGUUGGAUAAUGAGUACAUCGGGCCGCAAUGAUGUUGAGAAGACAAAGCACUGACCUUGAGGUAUUUUAGGCCAUGGAGCUUUCCAAUUAGGGAUACCAAAGCAUCAACUUCACCCGCCACCACAUCAGUAUAAAUCCUCAACUCCCUCAGGCUGGUCAGCUCACCAAGGCCCUUAAUAUCCUCUAGCGAGAUAUUCAUACAGUGUAGUGCACGCAAUGAUUUUAUGUUGGAAAUCCCUUGAGGAGGACAUGGUUGAAUCGGAAGGAUCAGACGAGACAACCGUGGCAAGCAAACAAUAUCUGACGGGAUGCUUCGUGCACCACCAGAUAUUUCCAGGGUCUCCAAAUGAACAAGCCCGCGAACUUCAGCAGGCAGAUCUAUUGAGCUUGGGAAUGUAGAAACCUUCAGAUAUCUUAGCUGAAACAAUUGACCGAUUGCAGUGAGGUCGACUAUCGUACUCCUCGUAAAUGGGAAUAUAAACACCAGCACCCGAAGGUACUUAAAUAGUGAAAGAGGAGGUGUGUACUUGGACUCUCCAAAUUGUGCAAAUGAUCGAACUUGUGACAUGCUAGUAUCAACGAUCCUCAAUGUUGCAUCAUUGGUGCUUGAUUUCAAGGACAACCUACGGACCUUGUACUCACAGGCAUGCAUUCUUGCCAUGCCUUCACAAUUAUAUGCCACGUUGAUAAAAUUUUGGUCUGCACAUUUGCUGACGAUCAGAUCAAGCAUUAUAUCAUGUACUCUGCAAUACUCCACCUCUCCAGACUUUGAGGUCUCAGCCGGCUGAAUCAGGCUUCUAUUGAUAAGCUCAUUAAAAUAACUCUUCCCGGUAUCCUCCAAGUCUGACCCAUGAGAACAAUUGACAAGGCCUUCAGCUAUCCAUUGUAAAACCAGAUCAUGCCUCCUGACCAUUUCGUCUUCUGGAUACAUGCCAAGAUACAGGAGACAUGGGCGAAGAUGAAGAGGAAGAUGCAUGUAGCUAAGGUUUAGUAUACUCCUCAUCUCUUCUAAGGUGGGAUUUGUGGCAAUCUUGGCGCCCAAAGAAUUUCUUAUGCUCUCCCACUUGUCCGUUGACCUUGUUUGAUGACUAGCUAAUAGACUAGCUAUAGUGAUGAUUGCAAGUGGCAAGCCUCCACACUUCUUCAAAAUUUCAACCAAAACUUCUUUUAAGUGUGAUGGGCAGGCAUAUCCGGAACCAAAUACUCUAUUACAGAACAACAUUCUUGAGUCUUGUUCUUUGAGGGGUUCCAUUCUAUAAACACACUCAUGGUCAUUGUGACACGCCCAAAUAGCCACAUCCUCCACUCGUGUAGUUACUAUUACUCUACUUCCAUUCCCGACUUCUGGAAAGAUACAACUCAUGAUAUUCCAUGCUGAUUGAUUCCAUAAGUCAUCAACUACAAUAAGGUACCUGUUAAUUUUCUUUUACACAUUAGCUAUACUGAAUUAUGAUAUGACUACAAGUUGCAGACGAAAGCACCAAAACAUGAAAGUGAACAUAGACAAAAAAACAAGGGUUCAAGCAAAUUGAUGAUAGUCCCACCGUCAAUUUAGCAUGUAAGUAGGCUAUAAAGAUUAAAAUAUUAUAUUUUCGCUGAGUUGGAUAAGAGAGAAGGAAAGCAAGUUGUAGAUUAAGAGACAACUGCAACAGGGACUCCAAAAAACAUUUUGAGAGUGUGAGGCGUGACAUAGAUUAAUAAAUUAGUACUUCUUUGUAGCUAACUACUAUACAUGUUGGCUAUUAGCUUGCCUAUAGAUGACAUGGCAACAAGAUAUAGCCAACACUUUGCUCUACUAUUAACCUUGCUCUUAUGCUUUUAAUUAAUAGUCACGAGUUGGCUAUAGUUACAGCAGGCCAAUAAAAUACUUAGGGCACUCACAAUGACAAUUAGCAUAGAUAAAUGCUGACGUGACACUGUGUAAUCAAAGAGGAAAGAGAGUAGAGUUGCAGUAUGCUUAGUGUAGAUAGGGUCUUUUUAACUCGUUUCUCUUCUUUCCUUCUCUCCACUACUAGGCCACGAUGUUGAGAUGCAGAAAAAGAUCCAUAAUAUAAUUGAUACAAUAUCGUUUGGAUACGACCCUUAACAUAUAGUGCAUUGAGUUGAUUGUCUCUAAGAUUUUUUCACUACCUAGGAUGACGUGUUAAGAUACAAUGCACCGUGAUUGCCCUUAAAACAUGCUACCCCCUCCAUCUGGGUUGUAGGUGUUGGAUUAUAGAUGGGUUUUGGCCCAUAUAAGGCAAUAAUCCCUGGUUAACUUCUAAGGCCCAUUUAGGUGCAUGAAAAGUGACGGGAAGUUUAGUAUCAUACUGUUAGUGAAAUGAGAGUGAGACUCAUUUAUAAGGGUUGCUCUACCACAUGCCAUUGAAAGCUUGAGAAGAGGAGUUACACGUGCGCUCCUCCUCCUCCGCCACCCGCCUCGCCUCGUCAUGACGCGCGCGCGCCGACGGUUGUGGGAAUGAGCCGAGCCUUAUUUUUUAUCCUGCCCGCAUCGACACCAUGGACGGCGACUCGUGGAUUAGAUUAAUCGGUAAGGUGCUAAUAUUUCCAGCAAUCCAAAGGGUUGGCAGACAAGGACCACCUUGUGGCUCACAACAAUGAACGUGUCCUGGCUUGGUGGUGUGUCCCCCAUGAAAACGAUUGCUCCUGAACAGGAGAAGGCGUUUAGGGAGGCAACCACCAUCUUUGUGGGAGCAAUUCUGAGUGUGAUUGGAGACAAGUUGAUUGAAACAUAUAUUCAUAUGCGAGUUGCCAAAAACUUGUGGGAUGCACUUGAAGUUAAGUUCGGCACAACCGAUGCUGGAAGCGAACUAUAUGCUACAGAGCAGUUCCAUGAUUACAGGAUGGUUAGAACUCCCUCCUGGAUGGAGGAACUUUGCUACUUCUCUCAAGCACUUGAGACAAGAAUUCUCUGUUUUGGACGUCAUCGGUCAUCUAAGUGUUGAGCAAAAGAGCAAAUGACUCACACAUAAAAGGGGCAGAGGGUUCUUCUAGCGUCAAUGUGGUGUAGAAGAAUUUCCACAAGUUCAAGGGAAAGAACACUGUACAGCAGAAUACUACCUUCAAGAACAAGGGUAAGAAGAAAGUCAAAAAGAGAGAUGACUGCUUUACUUGUUGUUGAGAGGAACAUUGGGCAAACAAGUGUCCAAACAAGUACAAGAAAUCAGGACAGGACUCCAAGCCAAUCAAUGUGACUAUGAGCAACAAUGAUCGAGCAUCUAGGUAUGGUAAUCUGUUUACCGCACUUCCAAUUUAUCAGUCCACGGAUUGGUGGGUUGACACAGAUGCAAAUAUUCAUUUGUGUGCUGACAUGUCUUCGUUCUCUUCUUACCAGGUCACACGAGAAUGCUUUCGUCCUGAUGGGGAAUGGCUCGCAUGCUUUUGUUCAUGGUGUUGGCACGGUAGAUCUAAAGUUUACUUCGAGAAAGAUCAUGCAACUGAAGGACGUGCAACAUGUCCGCCAUCAAGAAGAAUCUCGUUAGUGGCUCCCUUCUAUGUAAAGAAGGGUUUAGGUUAGUAUCCAAGUCCAAUAAAGUAGUCAUAUCUCGAUAUGUACUGUUUGUUGGAAAAUGAUUGAUUGCGGAGGUUUGUUUUGCCUCUCCCUAGCGGAUUUCUAUAAUAAAGACAUGAACCAAAUUCAUUCUAGUGUGAAAGAAUCUGAGGUUUGGCAUUCACGUCUUUGUCACAUUAAUUUCGGUUGUAUGACGCGGCUAGCCAAGAUGGAUCCAAUCCCGAGUUUCACUUUAGCCAAAGGCUCUAAGUGUCAUUCGUGUGUGUAAGCAAAGCAACCUCGUAAGCCUCACAAGCCUGCGAAGGAGAGAUACUUGGCACCACUAGAGCUCAUACAUUCAGAUCUGCGCGAGAUGAAUGUGUUGACUAAAGGAGGAAAGAAGUAUUUCGUGAUGUUGAUUGAUGAUUCCACUAGAUUCUGCUAUGUGUAUUUGUUAAAUACUAAGGAUGAGGCUCUGCACUACUUUAAAAUCUGUAAGGCAGAAGUUGAGAACCAACUUGAAAAUAAAAUAAAAUGAGUUCGGUCUGAUCAUGGUGGAGAGUACUUUUCUAAUGAGUUCAAUUUAUUCUGUGCGGAACAUGGUAUUAUUCAUGAGAGGACGCCUCCCUAUUCACCCUAGUCAAAUGGGGUUGCCAAACGGAAAAAUCCCACUCUAACAGAUUUGGUUAACGCCAUGUUAGAUACAUAGGUUUUAUCCAAGGCAUGGUGUGGUGGGGGGAGGUUGUAUUGUGAUCAUGUCAUGUCCUGAAUAAAGUUCCCACGAAGGAUAAUGAGACAACUCCCUAUGAUCAAUGGGAGAAGAAAAGAACUACACUCACUUACUUAUGCACUUGGGGCUGUUUGGCGAAAGUCAACAUCCGAUAACUAAAAGGCGUAAGUUGGGUCCGAAGACUAUGGACUGUGUUUUUCUAGGCUAUGCCAAGCAUAGCAUUGGCUGUAGAUUUCUAGUGGUGAAAUCUAAUGUACAUGAUAUGAAGGUUGGUACGAUCAUGGAGCCUAAAGAUGCUACAUUCUUUUAGGAUAUUUUCCCCAUGUGAGAUAUGCAAAGCACUUCUUGACUAGAAUCUGAUGAGACUCUUGAACCUGCCAUUCCGAUGGAAUAUUAUGAGCACAAAGGUGAUGAAAGUUCCAUGAAGGAUGACGAGGAAGCUCCUGUUAGAAGCAAGAUACAAAGUACUGCAAAGUCCUUGAUGAUGAUUUCCUCGUGUACCUGUGGAUGACACCCCUAGUUCCAUUUCAGAAGGUUAUGCAUCACCAGAUGCUGACUAUUGGAAGGGUGCGGUCCGUAGUGAGAUGGUUUCCAUCUUGGCUAAUGGGACAUGGGAAAUCACUUAUCGUCCUUAUGGUUGCCAACCAUUGGGAUGUAAGUGGGUGUUCAAAACGAAGCUUAGAACCGAUGGUACUAUUGAGAAGUACAAGGCUAGACUUGUGGCCAAGGAUUUUACCCAGAAAGAAGAAGAAUAUUUUUUAGAUACUUAUUCACCUUUGGCUAGACUGAUAACCAUUCGAGUGUUACUCUCGUUGGCUGCCUCACAUGGUCUUCUCGUCCAUCAGAUGGAUAUUAAGACGACUUUCCUUAACAGAGAGCUAGACGAGGAAAUUUACAUGCAACAGCCAGAUGACUUUGUAGUAAAUGGUCAGGAAAGAAAGACGUGCAAGUUAUUGAAAUCUUUGUAUGGCCUGAAACAAGUGCCUAAGUAAUGGUAUGAGAAGUUCAAUACAACUCUGAUAUCUGUUGGCUUCGUUGUUAACGAUGCUGAUAAAUGUGUAUACUAUCGCUAUGGUGGGGCCGAAGGAGUUAUACUGUGUCUGUAUGCUGAUGACAUGCCGAUAUUUGGGACCCACCGCAAAGUCAUUGAGGAGGUCAAACUUUUCUAUAUCAUAACUUUGAGAUGAAAGAUUUUGGCGUGACUGAUGUUAUCUUGAACAUCAAGCUACUGAGAGAUAAUGAGGAUGAAAUUACACUUCUGCAAUCGCACUAUGUUGAAAAGAUUUUGAGUCAUUUUGAAUAUUUUGAUCGCAAAUCUUGUGCAACACCAUAUGAUCCUAGCGUGCGGAUUCGAAAGUUUGAAGUCACGGCUAUAGAUCAAUUGAGAUACUCUCAAGUAAUUGGUUCACUCACAUACCUAGCUUGUGCUACUCGACCUGAUAUCUCAUAUUGUUGUCUCCAAACCGAGCCGGUUUGUUUCCAAUCCAGGAAUGUGCACUGGCAUGCUGUUGAGCGAGUGAUGCGUUAUUUGCAAGGUACUGUGAACUAUGGAAUUCACUAUUCUGGGUACCCGAUGGUACUUGAAGGGUAUAGUGAUUCAAAUUGGAUAUCUGAUGCCGAUGAGAUGAAAGCGACAAGUGGAUAUGUGUUCACACUUAGUGGCAGUGCUAUUUCCUAGAAGUCUUGCAAGUAGAUGAUCUUAACGAGAUCGACUAUGGAAGCAUAACUUACAACAUUAGACACAUCAUGCAUCGAAGCAGAAUGACUUCGAGAGCUUUUGAUGGAUUUGCCAAUGGUUGAUAAGCUAGUCCUGGCUAUCCUUAUGAACUAUGAUAAUCAAAUAGUGAUUUACAAGGCUAAGAGUUCAAAGGACAACAUGCAAUCCACAAAGCAUAUAAGAAGAAGAUUAAAAUCGACCACACAUUCAAGAAACUCCGGAGUAAUAGCGUUGGAUUAUAUCCAGACGGCUAAGAACCUGGUAGAUCCCUUUAUGAAAGGGCUAUCAGGAUUGUGAUAGAAAAUGCAUCGAGGGAGAUGGGCAUGAGACCCAGGUAAGUUGCCAUGGGGGUAACCCAACCUAUGUGAUCGGAGAUCCCGUGAAUUAGAACCUGAGAAAGCAAUCCAGCGGUCAACUGGGGAGAUUAUCCUUACUAACCCACUCCGUUGAAGAUGCAAUACUCUCAUAAUAUGUAAGGCAUGAUGAAUUUUGUCUUAAUGUGUUCCAAAGCUUGUAUAAGCAAGAUGAUAUCCUACAUAACAAUCUUUGGAAGGAACACACCUAUGUGAACCCGACUACUGACCAUAGUCUAUGAGAUAGGGUAAUCUCUAGGAAGCUCAUGAGAAGGCCAGGAGUAUGACUAAUAAGCUCCACCCAUGGGGUUUACCCUUCGGCAGCCACAUAUCAGCUGACACUAGGUGAAACUUCUGCACGCUAAACUGAAAAUUCAAGGUAUAGUCCAUUGUUCAUUUAUGAAGAAGUCUAAUCCUGUUGCUCUAGGUGGAAGUUCAAGUUAACAGUCUCAAUUGAAAAUUCUGGUAUAUCAAAACAUUGUUUGGAACAGUUGAUAAACUUAUGUGCCUCGAGAUCUGGUGGGGGAUUGUUGGAUUAUAGAUGAGCUUUGGCCCAUACAAGACAAUAAUCCCUGAUUAAUAUCUAAAACCCAUUUAGGUGCAUGGCAAGUGGUGGGAAGUUUAGUACCAUACUGUUAGUGUAGUGAGAGUGAGACCCCUUUACAAGGGCUUCUCUACCACAUGCCAUUGGGUGCUUGGGAAGAGGAGUUGUAGACGCGCCUCCUUCGUCGCCGCCCACCUUGCCUCGUCAUGACACGUGCGCCGCGGGUUGCAGGAAUGAGCCUAGCCUAGCCUUAUUUUUGUCGUUCAGGAAUGGUUAAUUAAUCUCGGAUUAAUUGAUGAGUCGCUACAGUAGUGCCAUUGUCACUAUUGGAGCCCAUAGCACAACAUGUGAUCCUGAAAAGCCAGACUGCUUUCCUCAAUGGCCAUAAUAUUUUGGAGGGUCCGAUCAUGCUUCUCGAGAUAGUACAUGAGCUAAAAUGUACCAAGGGGAAGGGUGUUCUGCUUAAGCUCGACUUCGAGAAAGCAUAUGAUCGAGUGAACUGGGAGUUCGUUCGGGAGGUGCUCCUCAAAAGGGUUUUGAGGUGGGCUUUGGUCACCGCAUUAUGCACCUGGUCAGUUGUGGGCAGACCGUGGUGACAAUUAAUGGAGAGACGGGCAAGUUUUUCAGAAAUAAGAGGGGUCUCCGCCAAGGCGACCCUAGCUCGCCGCUCAUCUUCAAUUUCGUAGCGUACACAUUGUCGGCUAUGCUUGCAAAGGCCAGAGCAGCGGGGCACAUCAGAGGGUUGGUGCCCCACCUCAUCCCAGGGGGAUGACUCAUUUGCAAUUUGCGGACGAUACUAUGUUGUUAUUCGAGCCUGACAACCAUAGUAUUGCCUCCAUUAAGCCGCUGCUCCUCGCCUUCGAGAUUUUGUCGGGGUUGAAAAUCAACUUCCUGAAAAGCGAAGUUAUCACUAUGGGGAUGGACCAGCGAGAGAGUAUGCGGAUUGCAAACCUACUUAAUUGCAAGCUUGGGGGAUUUUUGAUUAAGUAUCUGGGUCUCCCGGUCACCCAUCGGAAGAUUCCAAUCUCCAAGUCGGAACCGUUAUAUGGUGUAAAGUGGCAAACAGGGUUAGCCCGUGGCGAGGAAGGUUUAUGUUGUCGGCAGCUUGGUUGAUCCUCACCAAUUCCAGCCUUUCCUCCCUCCCACUCUUUACGAUGGGUAUGUUCCUACUGGCGGAUGGGGUGCAUGUGAAACUAGACACCCCGCGCUCUAGGUUCUUUUGGGAAGGAGCAGGAACAAAGCGGAAAUACCACCUGGUUAAGUGGGCGGCGGUAUAUAGACCCCAAAAAUCUGACGGCUUGGGGAUCAUCAAUUCCAAGCUCAUGAACGUUGCCUUGCUUACCAAGUGAUGGUGGCGACUCGCCCAAAAUGAGUCGGGACUUUGGGCGGGUCUGCUGUGGGCAAAGUACUUCCCGGACGAGAAUUAGUUUAAAGCUAAACCCUUGGGUUCGACUUUCUAGAACGGGAUUCAGGCAGUACGUCCGGCGUUCACGGUAGGGGCCCAUUUCUCCGUAAAUGACGGAAUGUCAACGCGCUUUUGGUUAGACAAAUGGCUCAAGGACAGCCUGCUGUGGCAGUUCGUCCCGUUACUCUACCGUAUAGCCACGGGCAUCAACACAAUGGUGGGUGACGCCUUGCAUACCUCACCACCGGUGAUUUACUUUCUGCGGCCCCUCUCAACGCAAGAAGCGACUAGUUGGGACGUGUUGCAGCCAAAGAUAGCAAACCGACCUCUCAGCUUGGGGGCUGAUGUGGUCUCUUGGGACUUGGCUACGUCCGAAAAGUUCUCGGUCAAAUCAUUGUAUGACAAACUGACCGAAGGAAGCGCCUUGGACAUAGCUAGGGGGCUCUGGAAGGCUGGGCUUCCGCUCAAGAUUAAGAUAUUCCUUUGGCAAAUGUUCAGAAAUCGCCUCCCAACGGCUGACAAUGUGGCCAAGCGCAAUGGCCCCUCCUAUGGCUCUUGUGUAGUGUGCGGGCUCAACGAGGACGCUAACCACGCUUUAUUUCAAUGCGUCUUAGCUAAGUUUGUGUGGAGUGCCAUUAGGGAUGUAUUCCACCAGAACUGGAACCCAAUGUCGGGUUCGGAUCUGUUGGCAGUGCUACAAACCCAGAAGGGGGUUAAUGCUAGGAUGCUGUGGCGUUGCGUGGGUGCGCUAUUGUGGUCCUUAUGCACGAUCCAGAAUAAGAUUACAAUCGAGAGAAAAAAACCUUGCUCAUCCGGCUGAUGUAAUUUUUAAAUGUCAUCUAUUUCUUCAGAUGUGGACACCGUUGGGGAAACAACACGAUGCUAAACACACGAGGGCCACAAUGGAGAAGAUCAGCAACAAUAUCUCGAGGCUCCUCCACUCUUGGUAGCUGGAUCUUGGCUCUGUUGGCGUCGGUUGCGUUUUGGGGAGGCAAGGAGUGAUGCUUCAGUUCGCCUAUAUUAAUCCAUGUCUUGUCACCUUAGUUUGGACCUUGUUAUGCAACGCUCGUAUUGGCCUUGGGGCCUGUUUGAACUAUAUGGUUGUGUAAGUUAAACUUAUGUGGAUGCUCCCUGAUGGCUUUACUAAUUUAAAGCUGGACAUGUCUAGCGUUUUUGUCCUAAAAAAAGAUGUUGGACCGUGGGUUCUUCGCGGGCUUGAGUCCUGUCUUGCGGAGUGAACCUUAAC
rnacentral:lncRNA from 1 species